rnacentral:rRNA from 1 species
CAGCUAGUUGGCGGGGUAAUGGCCCACCAAGGCUUUGAUCGGUAGCCGGCCUGAGAGGGCGCACGGCCACACUGGAACUGAAACACGGUCCAGACUCCUACGGGAGGCAGCAGUGGGGAAUUUUGCGCAAUGGGGGAAACCCUGACGCAGCAACGCCGCGUGGAGGAUGAAGUCCCUUGGGACGUAAACUCCUUUCGACCCGGACGAUAAUGACGGUACGGGUGGAAGAAGCCCCGGCUAACUUCGUGCCAGCAGCCGCGGUAAUACGAGGGGGGCAAGCGUUGUUCGGAAUUAUUGGGCGUAAAGGGCGCGUAGGCGGUGCGGUAAGUCACCUGUGAAAUCUCCGGGCUUAACUCGGAGCCUGCAGGCGAAACUGCCGUGCUUGAGUGUGGGAGAGGUGCGUGGAAUUCCCGGUGUAGCGGUGAAAUGCCUACAUA